rnacentral:lncRNA from 1 species
AAUUAUUUAGAUUAUGUUUACUCGUGCAACAGUACCGUGUUAGAUUUGUUUUAAUGAAACAAUAUGAAAACUGUUAGAUUAAUAUUGUAUGGUAUAAUAAAUUUGCAAAAAAAAAACAAGUUCAUUACUUUUUAUAUACUCGAAGGAGGAAACUUAUGCGAAAAAGCAGGCAAGUUAGUUGGUUCCUACGGUGAUAGUGUUCGUGGCGACGAUCGACGAUUAGGAGCAGAGUGGAGUCGCACAGUGGAGCAGUUUAGUUGGGAACGAAGCAGAA